AGCUUCGGCACAAGGGCCCAACUGGAAUUCCACUUACGGACGGAGUCUCCUUCUGUCGCCCAGGCUGGAGUGCAGUGGCGAGAUCUCGGCUCACUGCAAGCUCCGCCUCCCGGGUUCACGCCAUUCUCCUGCCUCAGCCUCCCGAGUAGCUGGGACUACAGGCACCCGCCCACCACGCCCGGCUAAGUUUUUGUAUUUUUAGUAGAGACGAGGUUUCACCAUGUUAGCCAGGAUGGUUUCGAUCUCCUGACCUCGUGAUCCGCCCGCCUUGGCCUCCCAAAGUGCUGGGAUUACAGGCGUGAGCCGCCGCGCCCAGCCCCAGGCGGAAAUUAUUUCAACUGGGUCCUGAGAACUGGGCACUUUUCAAGGAUUGUCAGCAAGGAGCAACUUCCCAAAUAUACAUCUAAAAAGAUGACAAACUCAUGUGGAAUGUGGAUUUAAGGAGGAAGGCCUGAUCUUUUGGCCAGAAGGAGAUUAAAAAGAUGCCCCUCAAGAUGGCUGUGCCUGUCAGCUGCAUGGAGCUUCGUUCAAGUAUUUUCUGAGCCUGAUGGAUUUACAGUGAUCUUCAGUGGUCUGGGGAAUAACGCUGGUGGAACCAUGCACUGGAAUGACACACGCCCGGCACAUUUCAGGAUACUAAAAGUGGUUUUAAGGGAGGCUGUGGCUGAAUGCCUCAUGGAUUCUUACAGCUUGGAUGUCCAUGGGGGACGAAGGACUGCAGCUGGCUGAGAGGGUUGAGAUCUCUGUUUACUUAGAUCUCUGCCAACUUCCUUUGGGUCUCCCUAUGGAAUGUAAGACCCCGACUCUUCCUGGUGAAGCAUCUGAUGCACGUUCCAUCCGGCGCUCAGCUGGGCUUGAGCUGACCAUACUCCCUGGAGCCUUCUCCCGAGGUGCGCGGGUGACCUUGGCACAUACAGCCAUCAUGAUGGUACUUUAAGUGGAGGCUGAAUCAUCUCCCCUUUGAGCUGCUUGGCACGUGGCUCCCUUGGUGUUCCCCUUUUACUGCCAGGACACUGAGAUUUGGAGAGAGUCUCACUCUGUGGUCCAGGCUGAAGUACAGUGGCAUGAUCCCAGGUCACUGCAACCCCCACCUCCCGGGUUCAAGUGAUCCUCCUGCCUCAGCCUCCCGAGUAGCUGGUAUUACAGGCGUGUGCCACAAAGCCUGGCUAAGUUUUGUAUUUUUAGUAGAGACGGGGUUUCACCAUGUUGGCCAGGUUGGUCUCGAACUCCUGACCUCAAGUGAUCCACUCACUUUGGCCUUUCAACGUGCUGGGAUUACAGGCGAGAGUCACCGCACCCGGACGACUCUGACAUUUUUGAAGAGUCCAGAAUCCUGUUACACCUGGGAUUUAGGCACUUUCAAUCUGAAAAAAUACAUAUCCUUUCAGCACUCUGGACGGACUUGAGAACUGUCCUUACGUGACCUAAAGCUGGAGUAUUUUGAGAUUGGAGAAUUAAGGCCAACAGAGAUUUUGAGAAACACAUUGAAGGAUCUGUUAACACUUGAUAUACCCAAUAAAAGCAGUGGUUGUGCCAGUGCUGAUCUGUCUUGAUGUGAAUGUGAACAAUGGGAACCUGAGCUGAGCAGUUAAUGCUAGGGUGACAGAAACUGGACCUCUCCCAAGACAUGUGACAGAGUAAUACAGCAGCCAACUUCUUCGCCAAAUUAAAGUUUUACAAGAUUUAACCUGUCAUCAAGACCUGGGAUUUUGGUGCAAAACUUUGUGGUUUCUGCUCUGAAUGUCAGGGUAACCCUGUCUGAGGAUGAUCACGGAUUUCAUUUUCCCUUGUUUGUUAGCGUUGCGGUCAGCCGCAAGUUGAAAACAAGGAACCAGCUUGAGAAGGACAGAAUAACGGGCUCCCAGAUUCACAAGCCCCACCAAGAGGAUCACCCCAGGAACGCUUGGAGGCUGAGGAGUUCACUGAGGCUACUGCAUCUUGAGACUCAGGAUGAAGACCCAGCUUGGGGCUGUCAAAGGUUUUUUGCAUGUCUGACACCCAUGACUCCACCUGGACCUUAUGGCUCCACCCAGAAGCAAUUCAGCCCAACAGGAGGACAGCUUCAACCCAUUACGAUUUCAUCUCUGCCCCAACCACUCAGCAGCAAGCACCUGUUACCUGUCCACCCCCACCCCUUCCCCCAAACUGCCUUUGAAAAAUCCCUAACCUAUGAGCUUUGAAUAAGAUGAGUACGAACUUCAUCGCCCACGUGGCGUGGCCGGCCUCGUGUCUAUUAAAUUCUUUUUCUACUACAA
ensembl:lncRNA PVT1 Pvt1 oncogene